GGGCCCGCACAAGCGGUGGAGCAUGUGGUUUAAUUCGAUGCAACGCGAAGAACCUUACCUACUCUUGACAUCUACAGAAGCUUGCAGAGAUGCGAGUGUGCCUUAUGGAACCAAGAUACAGGUGCUGCAUGGCUGUCGUCAGCUCGUGUCGUGAGAUGUUCCGUUAAGUCGGAUAACGAGCGCAACCCUUACCCUUAUUUGCCAGCGAUUCGGUCGGGAACUAUAAGGGGACUGCCGGUGAUAAACCGGAGGAAGGUGAGGACGACGUCAAGUCAUCAUGGCCCUUACGAGUAGGGCUACACACGUGCUACAAUGGCCGGUACAAAGGGCUGCCAAGCGCGAGGUGGAGCUAA
rnacentral:rRNA from 1 species